rnacentral:rRNA from 1 species
GACGAACGCUGGCGGCGUGCUUAACACAUGCAAGUCGAACGGAAAGGCCCUGCUUGCUGGGUACUCGAGUGGCGAACGGGUGAGUAACACGUGGGUGAUCUGCCCUGCACUUCGGGAUAAGCCUGGGAAACUGGGUCUAAUACCGGAUAGGAGCCAUUUUUAGUGUGAUGGUUGGAAAGUUUUUUCGGUGUAGGAUGAGCUCGCGGCCUAUCAGCUUGUUGGUGGGGUAAUGGCCUACCAAGGCGGCGACGGGUAGCCGGCCUGAGAGGGUGGACGGCCACAUUGGGACUGAGAUGCGGCCCAGACUCCUACGGGAGGCAGCAGUGGGGAAUAUUGCACAAUGGGCGCAAGCCUGAUGCAGCGACGCCGCGUGGGGGAUGACGGCCUUCGGGUUGUAAACUCCUUUCGCUAGGGACGAAGCUUUUGUGACGGUACCUAGAGAAGAAGCACCGGCUAACUACGUG